rnacentral:rRNA from 2 species
AAAGUGCGAUAACUAGUGUGAAUUGCAUAUUCAGUGAAUCAUCGAGUCUUUGAACGCAACUUGCGCUCAUUGGUAUUCCAAUGAGCACGCCUGUUUCAGUAUCAAAACAAACCCUCUAUCCAACUUUUGUUGUAUAGGAUUAUUGGGGGCCUCUCGAUC